rnacentral:piRNA from 1 species
CAAGGUUUAGAAGCUGAUGGAAAU